UUACGGUCAUAUAACUUUGAAAAACCGGUUCCCAUAUCUUCAGCUAAGUUAAGGCAAGUCGAGUCUGGCCAGUACCUAGAUGGGUGACCGCAUAGGAAUACCAGGUGCUGCAGG